AUAUGAAUUAUGUUUUUUACAGAGUCAUGCACACCUCUUGAAUUUCUUCUCAGCUUUCCUGCCAUCCGUGUGAUUUUGAACGAGGACUCUUAAGAAUACGAGGGAAUACAGGCCUGAAAAUGGAUCUGAGAAUGGAGAUGAGGGGCAGAGGAGGUGCUGCGGUGAGGUGGGACUGGAACUGCUGCAACUGUCCUGCUGCCAGCCUGAGGAUGAAUAUCACAUAGAGUAGAGCGUCUCAGGGGAUGGAGACAGAGCCACUGGAUUGCCUUCCAAGACCUGUUUGAUUAGACUGGGCCUCCCUGAAGACACCAAGCCAUUCUCCUAUGUUCAUCUAGAUGCUUUAUGCCUUUGCCUUUCACACUUAGGUCCAUGGUUAAUCCUAAAUUACUCUUCAUAUGGUAUGAGGUAGAGGUCAAGUUAUAUUUAUUUCACAUAUGAGUAACCAUGUAACUAAGCACCAUUUACGGAAAAGACCAUUCUUUCUUCCCUGAAUUGUAAUGGCAUAUUUGCUAUGUAUCAGAUGACUGUGGACAUGUGAGUAUAUCUUUGAACUCUUUAUUCUGUUCCUUUGGUCUAUUUGUCUAACCUCUUGCCAAUAUCACAUCAACUCUAGGACCAAAGAUGGAAUAACUGUACAGUGAUUUCUGACCAUAAUACUUUCCUUGGUUACAAGAACUAACAUGUUUCAUGCUAAGCAUUAUAAUUAGUCUAACCCAUGUGAAAGUGAUCUUAUACAUCAAUAUUUACAUUCCAAGUUUCUUGAGAAAAGCAUUUCUUCUGCCUGUUUUGUAGUAGGCCAUCCCAUACCUAAUAGAUAUUCAAUGAUCGAUUACCUCAAACUAGGAAGUUUCCCA
ensembl:lncRNA novel transcript